rnacentral:rRNA from 1 species
UGCGCAGGCGGAACUAUGAGUCAGUGGUGAAAUCCUGUGGCUCAACCACAGAACUGCCAUUGAUACUGUUAUUCUUGAAUAUAGUUGAGGUAGGCGGAAUGUGUAAUGUAGCGGUGAAAUGCUUAGAUAUUACACAGAACACCGAUUGCGAAGGCAGCUUGCUAAACUAUUAUUGACGCUGAGGCACGAAAGCGUGGGUAGCGAACAGGAUUAGAUACCCUGGUAGUCC